CACGUAGGGCGCAAGCGUUGUCCGGAAUUAUUGGGCGUAAAGAGCUCGUAGGCGGUCUGUUGCGUCCGCUGUGAAAACCCGGGGCUUAACCCUGGGCUGGCAGUGGAUACGGACAGACUAGAGGUAGGUAGGGGAGAAUGGAAUUCCCGGUGUAGCGGUGAAAUGCGCAGAUAUCAGGAGGAACACCUGUGGCGAAAGCGGCUCACUGGACCAUAACUGACGCUGAUGCACGAAAGCUAGGGGAGCAAACAGG
rnacentral:rRNA from 1 species